rnacentral:misc_RNA from 1 species
UUUUAUCUUCCAUCUCUAUUUUGCCAAUUUGUUUAUACAACAUAAAAUAAUAUAUAUCUUUGUUUAAUCCAUGUCAAUAUAUAUAUUAUUUUUUAUAUUAUUUGAAUAAAACAUUCAAAUAAUAUAAACAUUUAAAAAAUAAAUUUAAGGUUUAAAGUAUAAAAUAAAAA